rnacentral:sRNA from 1 species
UUUUCGCUGAAAUUUUGCCAGAUCCUGAAGAUCUUCGUGGACAAUCUCUUUGCUAUCGUCCUGCUGAAGCAGGCCACAGCUGUGCGCUGCUUGGACAUGAGUGCCUCCCGUAAGAAGCUGGCCGUGGUAGAUGAAAAUGACACUUGCCUGGUGUAUGACAUCGACACCAAGGAGCUGCUUUUUCAGGAACCAAACGCCAACAGUGUGGCCUGGAACACCCAGUGUGAGGACAUGCUCUGCUUCUCGGGAGGAGGCUACCUCAACAUCAAAGCCAGCACCUUCCCUGUGCACCGGCAGAAGCUGCAGGGCUUUGUGGUCGGCUACAAUGGCUCCAAGAUCUUCUGCCUCCAUGUCUUCUCCAUUUCUGCUGUGGAGGUGCCGCAGUCCGCUCCCAUGUACCAGUACCUGGAUAGGAAACUGUUCAAGGAAGCCUACCAGAUUGCUUGCUUGGGUGUCACAGACACUGAUUGGCGUGAACUGGCCAUGGAAGCGCUAGAAGGUUUAGAUUUUGAAACAGCAAAGAAGGAGAGGAAGAAGCGGGGAGAGACCAACAAUGACCUGUUUCUG